UACAGAGGUCCCGAGCGUUGUUCGGAUUCACUGGGCGUAAAGGGUGCGUAGGUGGUGAGGAAAGUCGGAUGUGAAAUCUCCGGGCUUAACCCGGAAACUGCAUUGGAAACUACCUUGCUAGAGGUUUUGAGGGGGACUGGAAUUCUCGGUGUAGCAGUGAAAUGCGUAGACAUCGAGAGGAACACCAGUGGCGAAGGCGGUUCUCUGGGCAUUACCUGACGCUGAGGAGCGAAAGUGUGGGGAGCGAACAGG
rnacentral:rRNA from 1 species